AGCUGAUCCGGGACGGAGCCGGCGCGCGGCGGGGGGAGGCGGCGGCACCGGCACCGGCACCGGGCACGGCCGGGCGGCACCGGCACCGGCGGGGCGGCGGCGCCGGGCCGAGCCGAGCCGAACCCAGCCGAGCCGCGCAGGUGCUGCCGUGCCACCCUGCUCCUGGCUAACCAGCACCAGUUCUUCAGUGGCAAGCUUUAUGUCCUUCUCCAGUAGCUAAAGCUGCCAGUUGAAGAACUGUUGAAUGUAGCCACUCUCUUCUCGUCACUGGGACCUUGGAUGCCAGCCAGAGCCGUGCCAUGAGCCACUCUGCAGAGUCCCGUGGAUUGGAGGGCUGAGGAUGAGUCUGACCAGGAUGAAGAAAGUCUCCUCGGAGCCUCCAGACAGAGCCUUGGCUGGAGGAUUGUAGAGGCAGCUGUGCCAGAAGGGAUGCCAAACUCUGUCUCCCCCUCAGUGGGGUGGCACCGAGCUGGGAGGAGGCUGAGAGAAGCAUUAAACGUUGUUUUCCUCA